AUGCGACCUCGCCAGCCUCUCCUCCCCUGCGGCCGUUUCACCGUCGGCCUGCGACCGCCACCGCCGUGCUCCACAGGACCCCGACGCGACCGAGCCUUCCCUCGGCGCGCCCCUUCUCCUCCUCCACCUGGAGCCUACAGAGCCGUGCGCCCCUGCCAUCCCCACGCCCGUCGCCUCCCUCUGAUUCUACCCUGCCUCAGCGCCGCCGUCCUCCAUGGCCGCAGCCAGCCGGGCUCGAAGCUCCCGCCGCUGCACCUCAUGGCCAGGGCCGCUCCCCUUCCUCUGUUGCUCCCAACCGCACCGUCGCCCAAUCCAUCAGCGGACCUUCGCUGCCACCAUGGAGGCCUAAGCCGCCAACCUCGUCGGGCCUCCACCUUCGUCUCGUGCCUGCAGCCAUGCUCUGGAUCGAGAGGAGCUCGAUCCCGAGCGCUUCUGCCCGUCCAUGCCGUCCCUGAGCCCCGGCGCCGCCUUUGCUCCGUUGCAUGA
rnacentral:rRNA from 1 species